rnacentral:rRNA from 1 species
UCCCUUAGUAACUGCGAGUGAAGAGGGAAGAGCUCAAAUUUAAAAUCUGACAGUGUCUUGCUGUCCGAGUUGUAAUCUAGAGAAGUGCUGCCNGUGCUGGACCAUGUACAAGUCUCCUGGAAUGGAGCGUCACAGAGGGUGAGAAUCCCGUCUUUGACAUGGACUGCCAGUGCAUUUGUGGUGUGCUCUCAAAGAGUCGAGUUGUUUGGGAAUGCAGCUCUAAAUGGGUGGUAAACUCCAUCUAAAGCUAAAUAUUGGCGAGAGACCGAUAGUGAACAAGUACCGUGAGGGAAAGAUGAAAAGAACUUUGGAAAGAGAGUUAAACAGUAUGUGAAAUUGUUGAAAGGGAAACGCUUAAAGUCAGUCAUGUCGGCCAGGGAUCAACUCAGUUUUCUCUGCUGGGUGUAUUUCCUGAUCUGAUGGGCCAACAUCAGUUUUGACUACUGGAAAAGGAUAGAGGGAAUGUGGCACCUUUGGGUGUGUUAUAGCUCUCUGUCAGAUACAGUGGUUGGGACUGAGGAAAGCAGCAUGCCGCAAGGCUGGGUUUUUGACCACAUUCAUGCUGAGGAUGUUGGCAUAAUGGCUUUAAUCGACCCGUCUUGAAACACGGACCAAGGAGUCUAACAUGCCUGCGAGUGUUUGGGUGGCAAACCCGAGUGCGGAAUGAAAGUGAAAGGUUGAGAUCCCUGUC